rnacentral:rRNA from 1 species
UGCCAGCCGCCGCGGUAACACGGGGGGCGCAAGCGUUAUUCGGAAUUAUUGGGCGUAAAGGGCGCGCAGGCGGUCUUGUCCGUCAGGUGUGAAAGCUCGGGGCUCAACCCCGGAAGUGCACUUGAAACAGCAAGACUUGAAUACGGUAGAGGAGAGAGGAAUUCCUGGUGUAGAGGUGAAAUUCGUAGAUAUCAGGAGGAACACCGAUGGCGAAGGCGACACUCUGGACGGGUAUUGACGCUGAGGCGCGAAAGCGUGGGGAGCAAACAGGAUUAGAUA